GCGGCUAUGGUUUAGUGGUAGAAUAUUUGCUUGCCAAGCAGGAGACGGGAGUUCGAUUCUCCCUAGCCGCA
rnacentral:tRNA from 1 species